rnacentral:miRNA from 1 species
UGAAACAUGAUGUGGACUCUUC